UGCAAGUCGAGCGGACAGAUGGGAGCUUGCUCCCUGAUGUUAGCGGCGGACGGGUGAGUAACACGUGGGUAACCUGCCUGUAAGACUGGGAUAACUCCGGGAAACCGGGGCUAAUACCGGAUGGUUGUCUGAACCGCAUGGUUCAGACAUAAAAGGUGGCUUCGGCUACCACUUACAGAUGGACCCGCGGCGCAUUAGCUAGUUGGUGAGGUAACGGCUCACCAAGGCGACGAUGCGUAGCCGACCUGAGAGGGUGAUCGGCCACACUGGGACUGAGACACGGCCCAGACUCCUACGGGAGGCAGCAGUAGGGAAUCUUCCGCAAUGGACGAAAGUCUGACGGAGCAACGCCGCGUGAGUGAUGAAGGUUUUCGGAUCGUAAAGCUCUGUUGUUAGGGAAGAACAAGUGCCGUUCAAAUAGGGCGGCACCUUGACGGUACCUAACCAGAAAGCCACGGCUAACUACGUGCCAGCAGCCGCGGUAAUACGUAGGUGGCAAGCGUUGUCCGGAAUUAUUGGGCGUAAAGGGCUCGCAGGCGGUUUCUUAAGUCUGAUGUGAAAGCCCCCGGCUCAACCGGGGAGGGUCAUUGGAAACUGGGGAACUUGAGUGCAGAAGAGGAGAGUGGAAUUCCACGUGUAGCGGUGAAAUGCGUAGAGAUGUGGAGGAACACCAGUGGCGAAGGCGACUCUCUGGUCUGUAACUGACGCUGAGGAGCGAAAGCGUGGGGAGCGAACAGGAUUAGAUACCCUGGUAGUCCACGCCGUAAACGAUGAGUGCUAAGUGUUAGGGGGGUUUCCGCCCCUUAGUGCUGCAGCUAACGCAUUAAGCACUCCGCCUGGGGAGUACGGUCGCAAGACUGAAACUCA
rnacentral:rRNA from 1 species